rnacentral:rRNA from 1 species
UGGGGAAUUUUGGACAAUGGGCGAAAGCCUGAUCCAGCAAUGCCGCGUGUGUGAAGAAGGCCUUCGGGUUGUAAAGCACUUUUGUCCGGAAAGAAAUCCUUGGCUCUAAUACAGUCGGGGGAUGACGGUACCGGAAGAAUAAGCACCGGCUAACUACGUGCCAGCAGCCGCGGUAAUACGUAGGGUGCAAGCGUUAAUCGGAAUUACUGGGCGUAAAGCGUGCGCAGGCGGUUUGCUAAGGCCGAUGUGAAAUCCCCGGGCUCAACCUGGGAACUGCAUUGGUGACUGGCAGGCUAGAGUAUGGCAGAGGGGGGUAGAAUUCCACGUGUAGCAGUGAAAUGCGUAGAGAUGUGGAGGAAUACCGAUGGCGAAGGCAGCCCCCUGGGCCAAUACUGACGCUCAUGCACGAAAGCGUGGGGAGCAAACAGGAUUAGAUACCCUGGUAGUCCACGCCCUAAACGAUGUCAACUAGUUGUUGGGGAUUCAUUUCCUAGUAACGUAGCUAACGCGUGAAGUUGACCGCCUGGGGAGUACGGUCGCAAGAUUAAAACUCAAAGGAAUUGACGGGGUCAUAGCUGUUUCCU